rnacentral:rRNA from 1 species
GACGAACGCUGGCGGCGUGCCUAAUACAUGCAAGUAGAACGCUGAAGGAGGAGCUUGCUUCUCCGGAUGAGUUGCGAACGGGUGAGUAACGCGUAGGUAACCUGCCUGGUAGCGGGGGAUAACUAUUGGAAACGAUAGCUAAUACCGCAUAACAGUAGAUGUUGCAUGACAUUUGCUUAAAAGGUGCAAUUGCAUCACUACCAGAUGGACCUGCGUUGUAUUAGCUAGUUGGUGAGGUAACGGCUCACCAAGGCGACGAUACAUAGCCGACCUGAGAGGGUGAUCGGCCACACUGAGACUGAGACACGGCCCAGACUCCUACGGGAGGCAGCAGUAGGGAAUCUUCGGCAAUGGUCGGAAGUCUGACCGAGCAACGCCGCGUGAGUGAAGAAGGGUUUCGGAUCGUAAAGCUCUGUUGUAAGAGAAGAACGAGUGUGAGAGUGGAAAGUUCACACUGUGACGGUAUCUUACCAGAAAGGGACGGCUAACUACGUG